AGGCAGCGCCGUUCCCGGGGCAGGCAGCGCCGUUCCCGGGGCAGGCAGCGCCGUUCCCGGGGCAGGCAGCGCCGUUCCCGGAGCAGGCAGCGCCGUGCCCGCAGCCGCCGCGGACUGGGGGAAAGGUGAAGGGCGCAGGGACGAGCGGGGCCGAGCGGCGCAGAGCCGCAGCCAGCCCCGGGGGCGCCGCCCGGAGCCGAGCGCAGGCUGCGG